rnacentral:misc_RNA from 1 species
GAUGAAGAACGUAGUGAAAUGCGAUACUUGGUGUGAAUUGCAGAAUCCCGUGAACCAUCGAGUCUUUGAACGCAAGUUGCGCCCGAAGCCACUAGGCCGAGGGCACGCCUGCCUAGGCGUCACACGCCGUUGCCCCCCCAUCUACUCCUUCGGGAUUGCGGGGGGGCGGAUGAUGGCCUCCCGUGCGCCUAGCCGCGCGGUUGGCAUAAAUACCAAGUCCUCGGCGACGCACGCCACGACAAUCGGUGGUUGCGAAACCUCGGUUGCCCGUCGUGUGCGUUCGUCGCGCAUCGAGGGCUCGAAAAAAUGCUCGGCUCCGGCUGGGCUUUCAACGCGACCCCAGGUCAGGCGGGGUUACCCGCUGAAUUUAAGCAUAUCAAUAAGCGGAGGA